rnacentral:rRNA from 1 species
GAUGAACGCUAGCUACAGGCUUAACACAUGCAAGUCGAGGGGCAGCAUGAGAGUAGCUUGCUACUCUUGAUGGCGACCGGCGCACGGGUGCGUAACACGUAUCCAAUCUACCCAUGGCUCGGGAAUAGCCUUUCGAAAGAAAGAUUAAUGCCCGAUGGUCUGUCUGUGAGACAUCUUGCGGGCAGUAAAGAUUAAUCGGCGAUGGAUGAGGAUGCGUCUGAUUAGGUAGUAGGCGGGGUAACGGCCCACCUAGCCGACGAUCAGUAGGGGUUCUGAGAGGAAGGUCCCCCACAUUGGAACUGAGACACGGUCCAAACUCC